GCUCAGUGGCAGAGCACAUAACUCACAAGCAUGAGGUCCCAGGUUCAAGCCCUGG
rnacentral:tRNA from 1 species